AUCCUGGCUCAGGAUGAACGCUGGCGGCGUGCCUAACACAUGCAAGUCGAACGAAGCACUUUUUUACGAUCCCUUCGGGGUGACGAAUUUGUGACUGAGUGGCGGGCGGGUGAGUAACGCGUGGGAAACCUGCCUUGUACCGGGGGAUAGCAGUUGGAAACGACUGAUAAUACCGCAUAAGCGCACAGUAUCACAUGAUACAGUGUGAAAAACUCCGGUGGUACAAGAUGGUCCCGCGUCUGAUUAGCUUGUUGCGGGGUAAUGGCCCACCAAGGCGACGAUCAGUAGCCGACCUGAGAGGGUGACCGGCCACAUUGGGACUGAGACACGGCCCAAACUCCUACGGGAGGCAGCAGUGGGGAAUAUUGCACAAUGGAGGAAACUCUGAUGCAGCGACGCCGCGUGAGCGAUGAAGUAUUUCGGUAUGUAAAGCUCUAUCAGCAGGGAAGAUAAUGACGGUACCUGAGUAAGAAGCUCCGGCUAAAUACGUG
rnacentral:rRNA from 1 species